GACUUUCACCACUGAACAUGCGGGUUGGGUUAUUUUAACCCAACCAGUUUGUUUAUUUUUCCACUUCAUCGAACUUUCUGGAUUCUUCACUCGUCUCCUCGUCAGGCGGUCACGAAAUUCGCAGCAAGCAGGAUUAUACGAUUUCACAAGACUUCAGGAAGCUACAUCCAGAGGCAGACUUUUUGUAGACUGGGCUACAUUUGCAAGAUGGAAAGGUGCAUUAAGAGCUGGGUGACAUGACUUCAGAUGUUAAAGGGGAGAGUGCUUUCAAAGUCCUGCCCAUUCUGGAGGAAGGGUCCACAGAACCACAACCACAGAAGUCUGGAAGCCAUUCAUUGACAUACAAACCUGUGCAGACCAGCAUGGUGGAUUUGUGCCUUGGGGAUGAGACAACGACAUCCCAGACCUUCUCCAUUGUUACGGGCCGUGCCACUGAAGCCACUGCCUUGUUGCCUGGAAAUUUCUCCAGCUUGCAGUAUAUUAUAUUGAUGGACAUAAGUCUUCAUGUGUGAAUUUUAUUUUUUCAGUUUUUUGUGGCCAAUUGUAACAUGUUUUAAAUUGUCAUAUGUAUUGUCUGGUGGACACUUUGUUUGGCUUAGUUUUAAUAGCACAAUGUUUGGAAUGAUUCUCAUGUGGUAAUCAUUCAUUUUUGAGUGUUCUGCUGCUGCAAUGUUGACAAAGAAUCGGAAUCUACAGUGCCUAGUUUACACAGUUUUGUGUUUUAAAGUAACUGAUCUA